rnacentral:tRNA from 1 species
ACCUGGCUGGCUCAGUCGGUAGAGCAUGUGACUCUUGAUCUUGGCGUGAUGAGUUCAAGCCCCAUGUUGGGCA